GAUCCCAGGUUAGGGACCUGGACCCCCAGAUUGGGACCGCGGACCUGGGCGGCGGGCCCAGAGCUCGGGUCGGCGUUGCGGGUUCCAGCCCCGCUGGUAACCCCGCAGCGGGCGUGGACGCGAGAGCGGGGUGCAGCUCUGGACACUCCCUGCUGGGGCCUGUUCCAGACCGUGUGACUCGUCUGUGCUCUGGGCGAGUGUCUGACAGGUGACAGGUCGGACUUGCUCGGGAGGGAACUGGGAGCCGGCCCGAAGGAUCCUUUCGAUCCUUCACCUCGAGCGCUCACCUGCAGCUGGCAGAGGCUGCUAAAGGCUAGUUUUUCUUCCCCUUUUACGUGCCCCGUGCGGCUGGGGGCGGGGCGGAGGUGGGGGUGCGCUUUCAGCCAUCCAGGGUUCAAGGAGGCCUGUUCAGGGAACCUAAGGGAAUCUUUCUGAAAAGUUAAAGUGAUGCGAAAACAGUCUCCCCGCACAAUUUCUGUUUUGAUAACUGUAGUUUCUUUUCUUAGUUUCAUUUUCGAAAAGCGUGGUGGUGGUAAAGCCGAUGAGAAGAGAGCGCAUGAGAGGACGUGCUGAGUUCAAAUUUUAUUUCAAAUCUGUUGCAAAGGGAGUUACUUUAGAAAGGUCCAAUGGAAAGACCCUCUCUGGGUAGAAACAUUUACUAUGAAAAAAAAAAAAAAAAAAA